rnacentral:rRNA from 1 species
CCUACGGGUGGCAGCAGUGAGGAAUAUUGGUCAAUGGCCGGAAGGCUGAACCAGCCAAGCCGCGUGAAGGACGAAGGUGCUAAGCAUUGUAAACUUCUUUUGUCAAGGGACAAAAUCAGGCUCGUGAGCCUGACCGAGGGUACUUGAAGAAAAAGCAUCGGCUAACUCCGUGCCAGCAGCCGCGGUAAUACGGAGGUGGCAAGCGUUAUCCGGAUUUAUUGGGUGUAAAGGGCGUGUAGGCGGGAAAGCAAGUCAGAUGUGAAAGCCAGGGGCUCAACCUGUGGCCUGCAUUUGAUACUGUUUGUCUUGAGUACUGGAGAGGCAGACGGAAUUCCUGGUGUAGCGGUGAAAUGCGUAGAUAUUAGGAAGAACACCAGUGGCGAAGGCGGUCUGCUGGACAGCAACUGACGCUGAGGCGCGAAAGCGUGGGUAGCGAACAGGAUUAGAUACCCUAGUAGUC